AUUGAACGCUGGCGGCAGGCCUAACACAUGCAAGUCGAGCGAGCGGCGGACGGGUGAGUAAUGUCUGGGAAACUGCCUGAUGGAGGGGGAUAACUACUGGAAACGGUAGCUAAUACCGCAUACCAUCAGAUGUGCCCAGUUGGGAUUAGCUAGUGGGGGGGGUAAUGGCUCACCUAGGCGACGAUCCCUAGCUGGUCUGAGAGGAUGAUCAGCAACACUGGAAAUGAGACACGGACCAGACCCGUAGGGGAGGCAGCAGUGGGGAAUAUGGCACAAUGGGCGCAAUCCUGAGGCAGCCAUGCCGCGGGUGGGAAGAAGGCUUUAGGGUUGUAAAGUACGUUCAGCGGGGAGGCGGUACCCGCAGAGAAAGCACCGGCUAACUACGUGCCAGCAGCCGCGGUAAUAC
rnacentral:rRNA from 1 species